rnacentral:rRNA from 1 species
UACGUAGGGUGCAAGCGUUAAUCGGAAUUACUGGGCGUAAAGCGUGCGCAGGCGGUUGUGCAAGACCGAUGUGAAAUCCCCGGGCUCAACCUGGGAAUGGCAUUGGUGACUGCACGGCUAGAGUGUGUUAGAGGGGGGUAGAAUUCCACGUGUAGCAGUGAAAUGCGUAGAGAUGUGGAGGAGUACCGAUGGCGAAGGCAGCCCCCUGGGAUAACACUGACGCUCAUGCACGAAAGCGUGGGGAGCAAACAGG